rnacentral:lncRNA from 1 species
ACCCUGUGAGCUUAAGUCUCAUUAACAUGAGCCAAUCUCCAAUGCUCCUGUCCAGUCUUCUUUAAGCCCCACUGCUCUAAUCACCUAAGGAAAUAAGUGAUUCUCGAAUUUUAAGGACCAUGAGGGAUCCAUUAUGUCUUAGAUGAGCCCAGGAAUCUACUUACUUAAGGGUUAUCCUCUAACGCUGGUGAUCUCUUGGAGGAACACAGACAUGGGAGCCACUGGAGGGAGGGGUGAUGGAACUGUUCUUUCCAACUGACACAAGACCUUGGACUUUUCCAGUUACAUUCUCCACCCCUGUGUCAAAGCAAGUAAGUGCAAGGAAAUUUGUUUCAUAGACUGACUAGGGUGAGAAUUCUUCCAAUACGCUGAGCCAGAUGACCGGCUUAGGCCUGAGCUCAUCCUUCUGGCUGUACAUUUGCACAUCUGUAUAUCUGGGAAACACAGGAAUGAGCUAAAGUGGAACAAGAUACCAGGAGACUCCAGGAAGAUUGGGUCUUCUAGAAAGCUUUCCCUGCAGCCUAAUGGAAAGAGUUCCUUUGGACAGGAGACAAGAAAGCUCGGAGGAUUCUCCCUGAAGAACGUUCUCUGACACAGUUCCAGUAUUUAAUGAGAAGAAUUAACUUGGUACAAUACUUCACACUUGAUGGAACUGCCAAGAGAAUUAAUAAGUACAAUCCAGUUGGAAAAUGCAUUACAAAGCACGCAUUUGGGACGUCAUCACACAUGCCAGCUGAAGACUGAGCCUUUGUGACAUGAAAUAAAGUGACAAAUGCAAGUGGUAGAUCCACGAUCUCAA